rnacentral:lncRNA from 1 species
GGCAACGGCAGCCAUCUUGAUGGUGCCAUACCCCACUGCACUAUAGAAUGUGGUGGUCUACAUUAUGGUUUAGUUCCAUCAAUAUUGUUCAAGCCAAUUCCGAGAAAUAGAAUGGACAAAAAGUGUGGAAGAAUAAAAAUAAUAAUAUGAAAAAAAGAAACGAACAAUAACAAUAUGUCACCCCAACUCCGUUGAGGGUGCCAUAAAAAGAAACGUAGAAUAACAGUAUGUCACCCCAACUUCGUUGAGGGUGCCAUAAUAAGGAAAAAAAGAAACGUACAAUAACAAUACGUCACCCCAACUCCGUUGAGGGUGCCAUAAUAAGAAAAAAAAGAAACGUAGAAUAACAAUAUGUCACCCCAACUCCGUUGAGGGUGCCAUAAAUAUUUAUAUAAUAAAACAG